UACGGAGGAUCCAAGCGUUAUCCGGAAUCAUUGGGUUUAAAGGGUCCGUAGGCGGUUUUGUAAGUCAGUGGUGAAAGCCCAUCGCUCAACGGUGGAAACGGCCAUUGAUACUGCAAGACUUGAAUUAUUAGGAAGUAACUAGAAUAUGUAGUGUAGCGGUGAAAUGCUUAGAUAUUACAUGGAAUACCAAUUGCGAAGGCAGGUUACUACUAAUAUAUUGACGCUGAUGGACGAAAGCGUGGGGAGCGAACAGG
rnacentral:rRNA from 1 species